rnacentral:rRNA from 1 species
AUGCUCCGCCUCCGAGAGUGCGUCGUUUCCCGUCUCCUAUCUUCUUCCCCCACCUCCAGCUCUGCCAUUUUCCCACUCUGCCGUCUCCUCUCCGCCGCCGCGCCCCACAUUUCCCCAAAUCCCAGUGGCUUCGCCGUGGAAGAGUACCUCGUCGCCACCUGCGGUCUCACCCGGCCACAAGCCCUCAAGGCCUCCCCGAAGCUCUCCCACCUCAACUCCCCCGCCAACCCCGACGCCGUCCUCGCCUUCCUCUCCGGCCUCGGCCUCUCCGGCGCCGACGUCGUCGCCAAAGAUCCGCUCUUCCUCUGCGCCAGCGUGGGGAGAACCCUGGCCCCUAAGGUUGCCGAGCUCACUGGCCUAGGUCUCUCGCGUCCUGAGAUCGCCCGCCUCGUCUCCCUCACCCCCGACCGCUUCCGCCGUAGAGCCAUAGUCUCCAAGCUGCAGUACUACCUGCCCCUCUUCGGCUCCUCCCACAACUUCCUCCGGCUGCUCAAGCGCUCGUCCCACCUUCUGUCGUCGGACCUCGAUAAGUUGGUCAAGCCCAAUGUUGCCUUCCUCAGGGAGUGCGGGCUAGGUGAUUGUGAUAUUGCCAAGCUGUGUAUCCGGGAGCCGAGGAUGCUCAUCACCAACCCGGAGCGCGUCCGGGCGAUGGUGGCAUGUGCCGAAAGAUUAGGUGUGCCCCGUGGCUCUGGGAUGCUCAGGCAAGCGCUGCAGGCUGUCGCGUUUCUCAGCGAGGAGAAGGUUGCCGCCAAAUUGGACUAUUUGAAGAAUACUUUCAGGUGGUCUGAUGCCGAAGUGCGCAUUGCUGUGCGCAGGUAUCCGGGUGUGCUGAAGAAUACAAAGGGACCUCUGAAGCGCAGGUCCGAGUUCCUGUUCUCUAAGGUGGGGCUGGAACCCAUGUACAUUGCUCAUCGGUCGGAAAUACUUUCAUAUAGCAUGGAGGGCCGACUCAGACCCCGCUACUAUGUUAUCAAGUUUCUCAAGCAAAAUGGACUGCUAGAUCGUGACUUGAGCUUAUAUUCUGCGGUCAAGAUGUCUGACAAGGUAUUUGUGGAGAAGCUCAUAUGCCCUCACAAGGAAGCCGCACCACACCUCGCUGAAGAUUAUGCAGCAGCUUGCAAAGGGGAAGUGCCAACUAAUUUCAGAUUUACGUGA